rnacentral:rRNA from 1 species
AAACUUUCAACAACGGAUCUCUUGGUUCCGGCAUCGAUGAAGAACGCAGCGAAAUGCGAUAAGUAAUGUGAAUUGCANAAUUCAGUGAAUCAUCGAGUCUUUGAACGCACAUUGCGCCCCCUGGUAUUCCGGGGGGCAUGCCUGUCCGAGCGUCAUU